GAUGAACGCUGGCGGCGUGCUUAACACAUGCAAGUCGAACGGAAAGGCCCAAGCUUGCUUGGGUACUCGAGUGGCGAACGGGUGAGUAACACGUGGGUGAUCUGCCCUGCACUUCGGGAUAAGCCUGGGAAACUGGGUCUAAUACCGGAUAGGACCACAUUUUGGAUGGUGUGGUGGAAAGUUUUUCGGUGUGGGAUGAGCUCGCGGCCUAUCAGCUUGUUGGUGGGGUAAUGGCCUACCAAGGCGUCGACGGGUAGCCGGCCUGAGAGGGUGUACGGCCACAUUGGGCCUGGGAUACGGCACAGACUCCUACGGGAGGCAGGAGUGGGGAAUAUUGCACAAUGGGCGCAAGCCUGAUGCAGCGACGCCGCGUGGGGGGUGACUGCCUUCGGGUUGUAAACUCCUUUCGCUAGGGACGAAGCGUUUUUGUGACGGUACCUGGAGAAGAAGCACCGGCUAACUACGUG
rnacentral:rRNA from 1 species